rnacentral:rRNA from 1 species
AACGAACGCUGGGGGCAGGCCUAACACAUGCAAGUCGAGCGAAGCCUUCGGGCUUAGCGGCGGACGGGUGAGUAACGCGUGGGAACGUGCCCUUUGGUACGGAAUAGCCCCGGGAAACUGGGAGUAAUACCGUAUGUGGUCGAGAGACGAAAGAUUUAUCGCCAAAGGAUCGGCCCGCGUUGGAUUAGGUAGUUGGUGGGGUAAUGGCCUACCAAGCCGACGAUCCAUAGCUGGUUUGAGAGGAUGAUCAGCCACACUGGGACUGAGACACGGCCCAGACUCCUACGGGAGGCAGCAGUGGGGAAUCUUAGACAAUGGGGGAAACCCUGAUCUAGCCAUGCCGCGUGAUCGAUGAAGGCCUUAGGGUUGUAAAGAUCUUUCAGUGGGGAAGAUAAUGACUGUGCCCACAGAAGAAGCCCCGGCUAACUCCGUGCCAGCAGCCGCCGUAAUAC